CAGCCGCCGCGGGAAUACGUAGGUGGCAAGCGUUGUCCGGAAUUAUUGGGCGUAAAGGGCUCGCAGGCGGUUUCUUAAGUCUGAUGUGAAAGCCCCCGGCUCAACCGGGGAGGGUCAUUGGAAACUGGGAAACUUGAGUGCAGAAGAGGAGAGUGGAAUUCCACGUGUAGCGGUGAAAUGCGUAGAGAUGUGGAGGAACACCAGUGGCGAAGGCGACUCUCUGGUCUGUAACUGACGCUGAGGCGCGAAAGCGUGGGGAGCAAACAGGAUUAGAUACCCGGGUAGUCCCUGUCUCUUAUAA
rnacentral:rRNA from 1 species